rnacentral:rRNA from 1 species
AGGUGCUGCAUGGCUGUCGUCAGCUCGUGUUGUGAAAUGUUGGGUUAAGUCCCGCAACGAGCGCAACCCCUAUCCUUAGUUGCCAGCACAUCAUGGUGGGAACUCUAGGGAGACUGCCUGUGUUAAGCAGGAGGAAGGUGGGGAUGACGCCAAGUCAUCAUGGCCCUUAUGUCCAGGGCGACACACGUGCUACAAUGGCCAGUACAAAGGGUCGCGAACCCGCAAGGGGGAGCCAAUCUCAAAAAGCUGGUCCCAGUUCAGAUCGGGGUCUGCAACCCGACCCCGUGAAGUUGGAAUCGCUAGUAAUCGCGCAUCAGAACGGCGCGGUGAAUACGUUCCCGGGCCUUGUACACACCGCCCGUCACACCACGAAAGUCCGCUGUACCCGAAACCGGUGG